GCUGGGCUCAGUGGCGCACGCCUGUAAUUCCAGUGACUUGGGAGGCUGAGGCAGGAGGAUCACAAAUUUGAGGUCAGCCUGGGCAACUCAGUGAGGCUUUUAGCAAUUUAGUGAGAUCUGUCUCAA
rnacentral:sRNA from 1 species